UGUUGUCUGUGGUACUGGUUUUACUGCAGCUAUCUGUCUUCAUAAGUGGGUAUCUGGUAUUGACCAAUCCAUGUGUUCCGGCUGCCACCUUCCAUUUAAUUUCAAAAGGAAACGACACAAUUGUUACAAUUGUGGACUUGUUUUUUGCCAUUCUUGUAGUAUUAAAAAAUCGCUCAAGGCUGCGAUGGCACCAAAUCCCAACAAACCUUACCGUGUCUGUGAUCAAUGUUUUGGCAAACUUCGGAGGGCUAUUGAACCUGACUCCUCAUCACAUUCUGCUCUAAGUAGAAGAGGAAGUAUAAAUCAGAG
rnacentral:misc_RNA from 1 species